rnacentral:rRNA from 1 species
UACGAGAGGUCCAAACGUUAUUCGGAAUCACUGGGCUUACAGAGUUCGUAGGCGGUUCUACAAGUGAGGUGUGAAGGCCCUCGGCUCAACCGAGGAACUGCGCUUCAAACUGUAGAACUAGAGGGAGAUAGAGGUGAGCAGAACUGAUGGUGGAGCGGUGAAAUGCGUUGAUAUCAUCAGGAAUACCGGAGGCGAAGGCGGCUCACUGGGUCUCUUCUGACGCUGAGGAACGAAAGCCAGGGGAGCAAACGGG